rnacentral:rRNA from 1 species
UACGGAGGGUGCGAGCGUUGUCCGGAAUCACUGGGCGUAAAGGGCGCGUAGGUGGCUCGUGAAGCGUGCGGUGAAAGUCCGAGGCUCAACCUCGGAUCGGCCGUGCGGACUCGCGGGCUCGAGCGUUGUAGAGGCGGGUGGAAUUCCGGGUGUAGCGGUGGAAUGCGUAGAGAUCCGGAGGAACAUCAGUGGCGAAGGCGGCCAUCUGGAUCAACACUGACGCUGAAGCACGAAAGCGUGGGGAGCAAACAGG